rnacentral:rRNA from 1 species
AGUGAACGCUGGCGGUAGGCCUAACACAUGCAAGUCGAACGGCAGCACAGUAAGAGCUUGCUCUUACGGGUGGCGAGUGGCGGACGGGUGAGGAAUACAUCGGAAUCUACUUUUUCGUGGGGGAUAACGUAGGGAAACUUACGCUAAUACCGCAUACGACCUACGGGUGAAAGCAGGGGAUCUUCGGACCUUGCGCGAUUGAAUGAGCCGAUGUCGGAUUAGCUAGUUGGCGGGGUAAAGGCCCACCAAGGCGCCGAUCCGUAGCUGGUCUGAGAGGAUGAUCAGCCACACUGGAACUGAGACACGGUCCAGACUCCUACGGGAGGCAGCAGUGGGGAAUAUUGGACAAUGGUCGCAAGCCUGAUCCAGCCAUACCGCGUGGGUGAAGAAGGCCUUCGGGUUGUAAAGCCCUUUUGUUGGGAAAGAAAAGCAGCAGGUUAAUACCCCGCUGUUCUGACGGUACCCAAAGAAUAAGCACCGGCUAACUUCGUG